rnacentral:RNase_MRP_RNA from 1 species
UAAUACUUGGGUAAAUUCCCCGGACGCAAAGAUAGAGAGUAUCGCUUCGAAAGAAGUUCCGGCGUGGAUGCCGCUCCUGCGACGACGGCCAAGUUUCAGUUCUACUGUUAAUGGCAAGAGCACUUGGAGUCGGCUCCAUCAAAUAGCCGCCGUCUUAGCAAAGUUAUGCCAUAUGAAACUCAACGGGGGUUACUA